AGCAGCUUUUCGGUAGGACCGCCCUACGGGCGCGUGUAGGAAAGACCGAGUGAGUCAACCACGCGCGCGUGGCCUCACGCGCAGUAUAACCACACCACCGUUGAAAUAGUGGCGAAGCAACAGUGAUGAAGUAGGUUUUCAGAUGCCGACGGCGACGCAAGACCUAGAUCCACACGGAGUAGCGGCGCUCGAUGUAGAUCGGAAAACUGCGGAAGUUAGGUCGCCGUUGAGGCUGAAGAAGGAAUAUGAAGAGUGAAGCGAAAUCGCUUCGCGACGGAAUCCACGGCGGUGGUGGUUAGGUUGGCGGAACUGAAAAUGGCGAGGACGGCGGCGGCGUUGUCUCGGAAUUAGGUUUUUGAUUUUAGGUCUUUUUUGCCUCUGAUUAGUUGCGGUAGCGGUGGUGG